rnacentral:tRNA from 2 species
GGGAGAUUUCCCGAGUGGCCAAAGGGGACAGACUGUAAAUCUGCUGGCUAUGCCUUCGGUGGUUCGAAUCCACCAUCUCCCACCA